GCCCGGAUGGCGGAACUGGUAGACGCCAGGGACUUAAAAUCCCUUAUCCUUCGGGGUGUGCCGGUUCGAUUCCGGCUCCGGGCACCA
rnacentral:tRNA from 1 species